GAUGGGUCUUGGGGGAGACCAAGGGUGCCCUGCUCAAUGUCAGCCCUGACUCUGUGCCACGUGCACUCAGCUCUGCCACGGAGGUGCAUGGCUCUGUAGACGUGGACGGUGAGCUGGGGAGGAAGGUGGUCUUGGAGAGAAAUGCCCCAUGGGGAGCUGAGACCUGUGUGUCAUGGGAUCAUCCUGGAUUUGGCUUAAAAUCCACGUGGCUGUGGAAAUCCCAGGGUGCACCGAGGAUCUGUGGGGGAGCAGGGCCUCAGGGGUGACACCUCAGAGCUCCUGUUUACCUCUUUAGCCACCAGGAAGACAUUAGGACUCCCAGAGGGUGACUCCAGGGGCAGGUGGCUUGGAGGACUGGCCGUGCAAGGAGGCAGCAAAGGGGCGGCCAUCUGCAAGCUGAGGGCAGAGGCCUUGGAGGAAGCAGCCCUGCCAGUGCUGGUAACUCCUGCAGGUCGGAAGUCCAAACCAAGGUGCUGGAAGGGCUGGUUCCUUCCGGACCCUUCAGGGGAGAAUCUUUCUGCCUCUUUGGCUUCUUGAGGCCCCUUCCUGGCAUUGCUUCUUUCUCCACUGACUCCUACCAUCAGCGCUGAGUCCUGCCUGCCUCUUAUAAGAUCUUCAGAGGCCACCUGGGAUGUCAGAAGCUUCCAGGAACCAGGAGGUAGCUGCAUCUCCUGUCCCUUCCCUGAGUCACCUUGCUGGACUCCACAGUGUGGUGCAGACAAGAAGCUGCAGGGGACAACAUGGAAGGAAGCGGGGAUGGAGGAGAUGGAAUGGGAUGGGCUCUGGGCCCGGCCAAGCAGAGCAGGAUAGGGCUGAGAGUCAUCUGAGCACAGGUGGUUCAAAUGGCAGAGAAGCUCCACGCUGGAGCGGGGAAGAGCUUGGGCUUUCCGGCCAGAAAGCGCAGGUUUUGGCCACGGCUCUUCUGCCACUCACUAGAUGUGGGAGUUUGGAGGCGUUACCCGAGCUCUGAGCCUUACUUUCCUCAUCUGAAAAAUGGGAAUAAUGGUAGGGUUAAAUUAAACCAAAUUUGGUCUGAGGAUGCCUCUGCACUUUGAGUCCAACUGCGACCUUAGCAGCAAAUGAACUGCAGGCCUAGCUUAGGAGUGUACUUUUGUAAGAAAUAGCCGAGUCUUAGCCAAUCACAGCAGCUGAGCUUCUAUAAAUCGCAGGUGGCUGCUGAGUAGUCCAUGUUCAAACACGGCAAACCAAGCUGUGACCAAUGAGCUGUCUCUGCAGCUCACUUCCAUUUUCUGUCUAUAAACACUCCCUGCCCACACUGUGGAGUGGAGCUCAGCCCUUGGAACCUCUUCUGGUCUGAGGGCUGCCCACUUCAUGAAUCCUUUGCUUAAUUAAACUCAAUUCAUUUCAAAUGAAACUCAAUUGAUUGCUAGAUUAAUUUAAAUUUAAUUCGUCUAAAGUUUUCUUUUAACAGUUCCUACCUUGUUGAGUUGUCGUGGGAAUCAAGUGGAAAUUUCUUUUUCACAUGGAAAGGGCUUAGCAUAGCCUGGCACGUGCUGAGUGUUCAGUGCACACUGGUUAUGAUGAUCACAGUUAGUGUCUCCAUCUUUGGUCUGUUCAGCGCUACAGUGUUUGGGGGCCAGCUAGGCAGUGCUGCAGCUGCAGCUCUGUGUGUGUGUGUGUGUGUGUGUGUGUGUGUGUGUGUGUGUGUGUGGAGGGGGCUGUGAGAUUGGCGGGCUCAGGAGAAGAUGACUACUAGCUGUUGCCAAAGUUUCUUUUCUGCAAGGGAAAGCCACAAGUCACUGGCUCCAAUGUGGACUUUUAAAAGGCCUUCCUUCCUUUCUCUCUUACUUCUGGGGAGCCCAUGGAUAGGAAAUGGCACUAAACUGACUUCAUCUCUGUACCCUGAUGCCUCCAUCGCCCUCAGAGUUUACGCCCUCGAUGAAUCACUUAGAGUGAACUGGGAGCUGUGUAUGAGGUGACGUCACCCUGAGAUAGAGCUCUGUGGUCACUGGGAGGUGGCUGUGUGCGUUAUCUCCCUGUGGCAUGCCAGGAGGCGUGUGUGUGUGCACGAGUGUGUGUGUGCAUGCAUGUGCAUGUGUGUCUUUGUGUGUGUGCAAGUGUGUGUAUGUGUGUGGAUAAGGGAGAGGGAGGGAGGGAGCUGGGCUGUCUCCCCUUCCCCACAAGUGGACCCUGCAGCUCAGAGCCGGAGGUGUGAGCUGAGUUUGGCGUUUGUAUGUUGCUUGAGUUGGAAUUUGAACUCACAGGGGACAGGAAAGGAUGCCUGUCCCCAGGACUGACUAACGACAUCAGGCCUGGCUAUUGAACUUCCUGCUCUGCAGAUCCUGGGUUCUGGGAGGAUGAGGAAAGGAUGAGCGAAGGCUGGGGGAUCUCUGGGGUGGGGGUGGACUCAGUGAGUGGAAAGAGUAAAGGUGUUGGGGGUGGACUCCCUGUCUGUGUGACCGCUGGCAAAGUCCUUGACCUCGGCCAGUCUGCGUUUCCUGAUCCAGGCAGUGGGGACAUGGUCCUUUCCCUCAGAGGGGUGGUGAGGAUUCAAUGAACUCCUUUAGGUAGAGCUUGCUCAGGAGCAUCAGCUGUAACACCUGUCCUGGAAGGUUGCUAGGUGCCCUCACCCUUUGUUCUGUGCCCACCUCUCUCCACCCCCUCUUCAGCCCGGAUCCAGACGAGGCCUGGGGAAAGUCUCCCAGAAAGCGCCCUGACCAGGGCGGUGCCAGCUGGGUUCCUGUUUGCCUAAACCCAAGCAGCAAGCUCUUCAAAGGAACCUAACAAACCGGACAGAGAGCUUUGUUUUUUUCCUCACAGCAAAGGAGACAGAAAAGUUUGCUGAGUAAGUCAGACACCAUUAAACUCACAAAAAGGCUCUUUGUUCCGGCCUGAGAGGGGGUGAAAAAAAUAAGCGAAGUGGUCGAAGGGCGUGUGUUUGCUUCCGUGUUCUUGGAGUGUUUGGGCAGGGCUCACCCAGCUCACUCUUCCUGCUCUCCCCCAUCUCUGAGUCCUCUGCCCCUGGUGAUCCCACCUGUUAUAUCAAAAAAUUGCACCACGGCCCAGCCAGAAGGAACGGCUAAGGGCUGUUAGUCCAGCCAGAGUUUCACUUUUAAAAUGAUGCUACCUAGUACUUAAGUUAGACGCUCCCGCAGGGCUUUCCUGUGCUUUUUCUUGUUGGAAGUGAUGUGACCGAGGCUCUUGCCAAAGGUCAGUUAGUUGCUGUCUGAGCUGGGCUUGGGACCAAGCCCCUCGUACCCAGCCUGUUGUCAUUUACUGUCAUCCCUAGUGCUAGCUGUGGAAAAGUCUGCUUGAUUCUAACCCUUUUGUCUCUAGUACAGUGAGAUCUAUGCUAAGAUUUGUUUGUCCUCAUUAAAUUAUAAAUUCUUCCAGGCAGGUCACUAUGUGGCUGGUGCCCCCCUGCAGUUGUGCAGUGUGCAACCUGUCAGACUGAACAUGGCAGCCCUGCUUCUGGGGUUAAUACAAUAUUAUUGAUUCAUUCUUCCAGCAGAUGGAACAAUGCCUGUGGGGGGCAAUUAUGCCUUUGCUUCUAAGACUCGUGCUUGUAAUGCCCAAAAUCCAGUGUCACUGAGCCCAGCUGUGCUGAGAGAAACCAGCAAGUGGGCCAAAAAGAAAAGGUCUCCUCCUCCCAGACACACUGGCUGCUGGAGAAAGCCUGUGUGUUCUUAGGUGGCUGGGCUAGGUGGGGGCAGGCUCAUGGGCAGGGGAACCAGUCUCUUAGGUGGGCAUUUCUGGGGGGCUCUCAUGGGGUGGAACUAACCAGCCAGGCCCAGUUCUCUCCUUUGGCAGCCAGAGAGGGGAGAAUGUCAGAUGUUUGUGCCUUGACUCAGCAGGUGACGUUGUGAACAUUUAUGAGCUUUUCUUCCUUUGGGCUCAUUUCUUUAUCUGUUAAAAGCAGGCAGGGCAGUGCCCAGCCCGCACCUGCCCAGAAGGACAGACAAAACAUAAAAGGGCGGGGUGAUUGUGAAAUAUCACUGGGCAUUGUUCAUGUCAGAGCUCCUGGUGCAGUGCGAUGCCCAGGACUUUGUGUGGGCAGGGCUGGUGCUGAAGUGCAGGAGAAGACUCAGCUCUGGCUGAGCAGGCGCUGACCCACACUGCUGCUCUGUAACUCACACCGUUAACAAUGGAAAGCGUUGCCUUGUUGUCUGUUUUGUGCAUCCAUGUUUUCAUUCCGAUUUUUAGUCCACAUCUCUGGAGGGCAGAAAAUCUGUCUUAUGCUUCUUUUUCCUUCAACUGCAUCCUUGGGAGGGUGGUAGAUAGAAGACAGACAUUCUUUACACAGGUGAGGCCCGCAGGAAGAACCAGGGCCAGUCCUCAUGGUCAUCACACACCUGGAGAGGGAGGCUUCUGUGACUUUGUGUGUGGUGACAACGCUGUGCUGCUUGGUCUUCCGAAUGGUUGGACAGCCUUUGGCAUGUGCUCUAGGACGCCCAGAGCUGCAGGUUGGCCUUGACUCCUCUAGCCUUGCCAAGUCCCUCAGGUAGAUCAGCCCACUGGUACCUUCAGCCGGCCGGCACCCUCCUGCCCAGGUGGGGCCAUGCCUCUGUUGGCUGCACUGUCUUUCAGGAGGGUGUCCUUGGCUCUGGCAUUCUGGGCUCCUAGAACAGAACUGCAAUGGUUUUCCUCAGCCUGCGUUCCUGACUUCUGUCCAGCUUGUGGUCUGCCUUGUGGCUCCCUUCCCUGGGGACCGUCCCCUCUGUCCCCCACCAGGAGGGUCAUGCCUGCCACACACUGCUCCUAACAACCCGCCCUGUGAUGGCUCUGGCUGGUGACCCGCAGCUGCUGGCCAGGCUGGGCUGAACCCGGAUGGCUGCGGAUCAGCAGAGCACGCGCCCCACCGCGUUGGGCCUGCUCUCGGAUAUGCUGCUGGUGGACUGACUCAUAACUAGCGCUUCCUCUCAACAAAAACAAACACCCAGGGAGAGACUCAAGGGCCCUCCUUGGCUAAACAAUUCUUGAGAUUGAGUUGGAAGGGAAAACCCAUUACACAAAGGGCUUUGCAGGGGAAGAGGGGAGAAGGCGAGAAGCCAGAACAAACACAAGAAGGCCCAAGCCACCCAGGGACUGGGAGAGGGACUCCGGCUCAGGUGGGCGCGGCCAUAUCCACCUUUUUGGGACUGAGACACUGAGCACAUUUGCUCACUGCUUUCCCUCCGACAGCUGUUAAAGCUGGUGCUUUGAACCCAGCCCUGGGCAGGGUCCUUGCUGGCUCCGGGAACCUCCAUUCUUGCUGGGCUGACCCUUUGCACAGCGGGCUAGGGCAGCCCUGGGUGUGGGGCUCCAGCUCACAGACAGUGUGAUCAUGAAAUGAGGAAAGUGUGGGCUUUGGAGUCUGUGAGACCUGGCUGCAAAGGCUGCUCUGCUGGCCCUAGCUUUAUGGGCUCAGGCAAGUGACUUAACCUCGCAGAGUCUCAGUUUCUUUAUCUGAGAAAUGGGUGGUGAUGCCUACUUGGGAGAUUGCUGUGAGGAUUAAAGAUGACCUAUGUACAGUGCUGGAACAUAGGAGGCAGUUACUACCUAGCAGCUAAUCUUACUUAAUUAAAUAUCUUCCCCUCUCAAAUAAACCUUCUGGGUCUAGCAAAGAAAGUUGAGUAAGAUACAGGCCUUCUCCACUGGACACACACAGCUCCUUGGGGACCAUCUGGUGGGAUCUCAUUCCCAGGCCCCAGGCCAGAUGCUCAUCAGCACCCAGUGAGGCCACAGCCAGCCCUGAUUCCAGGUCACUGGCCCACCUCUGGUCAUAGUGGCCUCUUCUGUCUUCUCAUCAUCCCACAGUUAGGCAGGACCUCCCAUGAACCAAUGGAAAAAUGCCCAGUAGUACAGAUGCCAGCAUGCUGACCAGGGAACAGGCACAGGUCACCUUGGGCUCGGUGUGGAGCCAUCAGCUGGCCAGGGGGACCUCACUGUCCUCCUGGUUGCAGAGGAAGGCACUGGGCUUGUGGGAAGAGUCUUAGAGAAAAACUUUGCAAUGGGGCAUGGCCACAGGACUGAGGGCCAAGCAAAGACUACUGAUGAGAAUUUCUGUGGGGGGAGAGUUUCAUUUCAAUGGAAGGAAGAACUUUUAUCAGUAAGAACAAAAACUUCACUGUUGAAGAAUAGAUUCAAGGGCACCUUCACCUUCUUUGUCCCUCCUUGACUUGGCCACUGGUGGUAGUGUGUGUGCACAUGUACGUGGGUGUGUGUGUGUUGUUCAGCUUAAUAAAUAACACAUCAAAAUCAUGCAGUGCAGUCAAAUUCAUAUGAGAAAAAAAUUUGUUUGUUCUCAAGUUCUGUGAAAGUAGAUAUACCUGAACCAGCCAACCACUGACCUCCAACUACCAAGUUCUGCCAAAAGUUGUGACACUCAGAGGACAAACCAGUUAAGCAGUGUUUGUCAAAAAAUAUUCCCUGGACAAGACUUAUUCCUGUCUGGGUGUGUCCACGUUACAAAAGCAUGUCUACACCACAUUGCUACAUCGAUCUUCAGAACGUCUGAGUGAAGUAGGCAGGAGGGUAUUGUCUUCCUUUUGCAGAGGAGGAAAUAACUUGCUCAAGGUUACAUGGCCAGCAAGUAGCAGGCUUGGGAGAACCAGGUCUUCUGGCUGCUUCACAAAGCCUGAUCUAGAAAAGGAGGGGGCUGCCUCGUGAGUCCCGUGGACCCAAACUGAGAUCAGAUGACAGAGGAUCAGAUCAUGGAGACCUUCUGGAGUUCAUAAUUGUACCAUGAAAGCAUUGUCCUGCACGACAGUGAGAGCAGAAGUUGGCACAAUUUUUAGAUGUGUAAUUUGGCAAUAUGAAUCAGAAACCAUAAAGGUGACUAUGGGCUUUGACCAAUUAUUUUCAUUUCUAGGACAGUGUCUUCAAGAAAUAAUCAGAAAUGGGCACCAGGUUAAAAAGUUACACAUAGGGUUACCGUAUGACCCAGCAAUUCCACUCUUGGUGUAAGCCCAAGAAAAUGAAAACAUGUGUCCACACAGAAAAAUUGUAUGUGUUUAUAGCAGUACUAUUUAUACUAACUGAAAAGUGAAAAGACCCCAAUAUUCACCACUAUUGAAAAAAUAAAAUAUGAUCUAUCCAUAUAGUAGAAUAUUAUUCUGCUGUAAAAAGGUAUGAAGUAGUGAUAUUUGCUGCAACAUGGAUGACCCUUGAAAACACUGCGCUAAGUGAAAGAAGCCAGGCACAAAAGACCACAUCCUAUGACUUUGUUUAUAUAAAUCCAGAAUAGGCAAAUUUGUAAAGCUAAAAGUAGAGUAGGGUUGCUUAAGUUUGGAGUAGGAAAGUUGGGAAGAUGCAGAUUCAUUGCUAAUGGGUAUGAUGUUUAUUUUAGCAGAACAAAAAUAUUCUAAAAUUAGAUUGUGGUGAGGGUUGUACAACACUGAAUUAUUUUUAAAAUGUUAAACUGUACACUUUAAAUGAGUGAAUUACAUGGUAUGUGACUUAUAUCUCAACAAUUUUUUUUCUAAAAAAAAAGGGCACCAGGAAGUUCUUCUCAUCAGUUUUCAUAAUAAUAAAAAAAUUUGAAACAAUCCAAGCUCAUAAGGAAAAGAAAUAAUCAAAUAAUUAUAGUACACCCAUAGUUGAUGUAUAAAGAAAUCAAAAAAUAUAAUACAUAAAAAUAUUUUAGACAAUGAGAAAAUGCUCAUGAAAUAUUAAAAAUUAUAAAAUACAAAUGUAUGUUUAGUGUGAUUUCCAUUUUAUUUUAAUUUUUAAAAAUUAAAUGUUUUAUCUUUUAAGAAAGAAUUUUAAGAAAGAAUGCAGAGAUCCUGUGUAUCUUUCACCAAUUUCCCCAGAUGGGAGCAGUUUGCAAAACUGUAGUACAAGACAGCAACCAGGACAUUGACCUUAAUAUGGUCAAGCAACAAAACAUUUUCACCACUGCAAGGAUCACUUGUGUUGCCCUUUUAUAGCCAUGCCCCCUUUCUUCCUGUGCCAUUCUCACCUUAAUCCCAGGAAACAGCUAACCUAUUCUUCAUCUCUAUGAUUUUGUUAUUUCAAGAUUGUUAUAAAUGGAAUCAUAUAGUGUGAAACCUUUUGGGACUGGCUUUUUUCACUCUACAUAAUUCACUAAGACCCAUCUAGGUUGUUGCACUUAUCCUUAGUUCGUAUUUGUUUAAAAACCUGUACACAGCGUGUGUAGUAGUUUUAUUUGUAAUAGCCCAAACCUGGAAGCAAUCCAGAAUUCUCCAGGGAAACCAUCUGGGCCUGGAGAUUUCCUUUUUUAGGAGGUUAAAAAUUACCAAUUAAAUUUCUUUAAUAGUUACAGGGCUAUUCAAAUCAUCUACUUUAUAUUUGAUGAGUUGUUAUAGUUUACAUUUUUCAAGGAAUUGGUCUAUUUCAUCUAAGUUGUCAAAAUUUACGUGGAUAAAGUUUUUGUGGCAUUCCAUGAGUAUCCUUUUGAUAUCUGUAGGGUCUAUGGUAAUAUCCUUGUUUUAUUUCUGAUAUUUGUAAUUUAUGUCUUUCCUCUUUUUUCCUUUGUCAGUCUUACUAGAAGUUUACCAAUUUUAUUGAUCUUAUAAAAAAACUAGUUCUUGAUUGAUUUUCUCUAUUUUUUUCUGUUUUCAAUUUCAUGGAGUUUGGUUUUUAUUUCUUUAUUUCUGCUUUCUUUGGAUUUACUUUUUUUUUAGGUUCUUGAGGUGGAAGCUUAGAUUAUUUAUUUGAAUUUUUCCUUUUUCUAAUAUAUUCAUUUAGUGCUAUGAAUUUUCCCCUCAGCACUGCUUUAGCUGAGUGCCACAAAUUUUGAUAUGUUGAAUUUUCAUUUUCAUUCAGUUCAAUGUAUUAAAAAAUUAUCUGGAGACUUCCUCUUUGACCUCUGGGUUAUUUAGAAGUGUGCUAUUUAGUUUUCAAGUGUUAUGAGAUUUUCCUAUCAUUUCUCUGUUAUUGAUUUCUAGUUUGAUUCCAUGUGAUUGGAGAACACACGCUAUAAGAUGUGAAUUCUUUUGAAUAUGUUGAGGUUUGUUUUGUGGCCCUGAAUAUAGUCUAUCUUAGUGUAUAUAUUUUGAAGUAUGGGAAAAUGUUCAUGAUAUAUUAUAUAAAAAUAUAAAUUAUAAAAUGUGUGUAUAGUGUGAUUCCAAUUUUAUGUUAACUGCCCUUUAUUUUCCUCCUUAUCCUCUUCUGAAUUAUCUAAAGUUAAGAAUUCUACCUUUUAUGAUCAGAAAGUUUUUUUUUUUAAAUGGAAAGAGCAGUGGGUAGUGUGUCAUAAGAUACAAGUUUAAAAACUGGGCUCUCAUUUUCUAGCAAUGUGACCCAGGCACUGCAUCUCAUUUUAUCUAAUUGAGCCUCAUUUCUAAAAUCUAUAAAAUGGAAAUAAUAAAAUGCCCACUUUAUAGAGUUAUUGUAUUAAACAAUCCAAAGCCAGCAUUUAUUAAAUGCCCAAGCAGUGUGCACACGGUAUGGUGGUGUUUCUAUUACAGUGAGGAAGCUGGACUCUUUUAUCUCUUGGGUCCCUUGCGACUAUUUGCUUUUAAGCCUCUGUGAUUCUUUCACUGAGGAGCAGACAGAAGUCUGAAACAUAUUGUGUCUGUGGACAGAACUCUCCAUAAAUUGCUGUUCUCCAGAUAUUUCUGGAAGCCUGGGAGUAUAAUUGGGAUGUAACAAAUUUGGACUUUUUAGCAAUGUUCCAAUUUCAAAUGUUCUGUCCUCUUGCUCCCCUAGUAUAACAGUAAUGUUUUCACCAUGCAAUUUCAUUUCUGGUUAGAAAAAUGUGGAUAUUAGGUUAAAAGAUUCACCUGAAAGGAGAAGAAAAAUUCUUGGUUGUCUGCCAUACCCUUUACUAGAAACCUUUCCCCUCUUCUUAGGCCUGUGAUUGUUCUCCAAAGCAGGUGAUUGUAAUCAAGCUCCCAAGAACCAGGUUAUCAGUCAGUUUUACAGCCCUAAUUUCUCAAUGGCAGGAAAGGAGUGGGGCCUGUAAGAUGAGUCAAGGAGGGACAGGGUUUCCUUGGUAUUACUUAAUUUUAAAGUCCUUUUCCCUGCCCAUGCAUGACUCCCAAUCCACCGCUGGGCUGGCCUCUAGAAGAACCGCUGUAGGAGCUCUCACCCUGCCAGGGCCACCUCCGGUCUUCUCUCUGUGUCUUCCACCCUUCCUUGGCCAGCAGACAGUCUUCUGGUUUUAGAAGUGUCUUUUCUUCCUACUUGUGUGGUAUUCCCUUCCAAAUCCACCCUAUCCAUGUGGAUGGAGUCUUCUUGACCAAGAGAGCCAGGGUCCAAGCUUUUCUAAGGAUAUUCCAGAGGAUACUAGGGUCUAUUCAGCCAAUGAACCCUUAGCCCUGCUUCCAGACUCGGUGUACUACCAUCCCUCUCAAAGCUCCCUGUUCAUCCAAUGUGUAGUAUCUACUGAUAAUUCAGCAUCCCGUGCCAACCAGUCAUGCCCCACUCUGUGAUCUUAGGGUGGCGGAUGCCUAUUUAUACAUUGCCCUUAUUUUAUUUUACACCCUUUAUCACCUGGGUCUGUGAGUUUCUUGGGUUCAAGGACUUUUCUCAUUUGUUUUUGUUUAUUUUGAUCAAGGUAAAUAUAUAGCAUAAAAUUUACCAUUUUAGGUACACAAUUUGGUGGCAUUAAGUGUACCAUAGUCUCAAUGCCUUAGUCUCAACACUAAGUCACAUGAAAUCAAACUAGAACUGUCACCACCAUCCAUUUCCAGAAUUUCAUCAUCCCAAACGGUAACUGUCUACCCGUCAAACAACAACCCCAGCUGGGCGCAGUGGCUCAUGCCUGAGGUCCUAGCAUUUUAGGAGGCCGAGGUGGGCAGAUCACUUGAGUCCAGGAGUUCCAGACCCGCCUGAGCAACAUGGUGAAACCCUGGCUCUACAAAAAAUACAAAAAUUAGCCAGGAGUGGUGGUAUACGCCUGUAGUCCCAGCUACUGGUGACGGGGGAGGCCUGGGAGCUGAGGUGGGAGGAUGGCUUGAGCCUGGGGAGGCGGAAUCUGCAGUGAGCCGAGAUUGCACCAUUGCACUCCAGCCUGGGUGACAGAGUGAGAUACUUUCUGAAAAACAAAAAAACAAACCAAAACAAAACAAAACACCCCAACAAACCCAUUUAUUUUUGCAUCUUCUGUCUUCUAUGUGAGGACCUUUGCCUAGCACACAUCCAGGCAGACAUAUUGUGACAUUGUCCACAGACAUGAGACAUACUGUGAAGGUGCCCUUGAGUUGUGCAAGACAGUGGUCAAGCUCCCAUCCCACUUCUUAACACAUGGCGGGACCUUAAAUGUUCUUAAAAUUGAACCAACCGGAAAGCAGGAUAUUAUGGGCACACUUUUAAUCCUUGGCUCUUGGGGUAAACUGCCCUCAAGAAAGACCUUGACUUUCACCCUGGGGAGAAGAUCUCUCUUUCAUGGCCUUCCAAAUUCUGCGAUCUGUGGCAUUAAUUCUGCUCAAAUUGAUUUCAUUUGUCUAAUAUUUUCAGCCUAAUGAGACAGUGGGCUGUGCUACGUGACCGAACCAGCAACUAAAGCAACAGGGCCUUCCCCUUGGGGUGUCCAUUCCCCAGGGUCGGGCGAUAGGAACUUCCUUCCAAGCGACUGAACCAGCAGCUACAGCAACAGGGCCUUCCCCUCGGGGUGUCUGUACCCUACGGUCAGGUGAUAAGAACUUCCUUCCAUGCGGCUCUCGUCUUUGAAAUCAUGACUUUAAUGGUGGUGAUAAGACCACAGAAACUUUUGCUACUUGAAUCCUCUCAAGGGCAGCUUAGAAAAAGUCAAUUUUGCUAGAGACAUGGGGAGACACAGAACUCCUCCAUAUGAAAUACAUCAUCCCUGUUUUAGGACAAAAGAGCGGGUCUGUGGGUAUGAAGUGGACGGCACCCUCCUCCCUUCAAGCGCAGCCCAGCCCUCCUCUCCCCUCCUCUCCUGCAAGGUGUCGGUGAUUCCUCCGGCUUGCCCUGGGCUCUCCCUUCUCAGACCAGGCGCCUCUGUGGUCAGCAUUGUGCGUCUGGUUGCUUACAUGCCCCUGCUUGUUUACGGUGAUUGUUUUGUGUCCACAGAUCCUGGAGAAUGAGCUAUUUGAGGAACAAGACUUAACUUUGCUAUGCAUAGCUCAUCGAGGACGUUCCAGCAGAACUUAUUCCCUGAGUGAUAAAGCAUACAGGGUGUAGGUUUCUGUAGAAAGUCAGACAGAAACAGAUGGAACUAAAGAAAACACAGUUAGAGGGGUCCCCAAAUAACUGACUUGUGCUUGUCUCUUUGGCUUUUGCAUUAUCUCUGAGACGCAGAAUGUACCUGGAACAUUCCCCUGGAGGGCAGGACCUGUGAAAACAGGAGCAGGAGGAGCUGGCAUCAGCUGUGCUUGCUCCCAGUUCUGCAGCCUGAAGGGAAAAGGCUCCUGAAGCUUUCUUACCACAGGAAGGAAAAACAACUUGCAUUAAGGCUGUGUCCCAAGAUCAAAGACAUUCUUAAACAAUGAAUGAGUACCAGGGAAAAAUAUGUUAGGCCAGAGUGGAAGUUGGGUUGUAUUUGGAAAGAAGUGGCGGUACCGAGCAAAGAUGGGGAGAGAGGGUCAGGAGUAGAAGAAACAGGCCGGGCACGGUGGCUCACGCGUGUAAUCUCAGCACUUUGGGAGGCCGAGGCGGGUGGAUCACCUGAGGUCAGGAGUUUGAGACUAGCCUGGCCAACGUGGUGAAACCCCAUUUCUACUAAAAAUACAAAAAUUAGCUGGGCAUGGUGGUGCAUGCCUGUAAUCCCAGCUACUCAGGAGGCUGAGGCAGGAGAAUCGCUCGAACCCGGGAAGCAGAGGUUUCAGUGAGCCGAGAUUGUGCCAUAGCACUUGAGCCUGGGCAACAAGAGUGAAACUCUGUCUCAAACAAACAAAAAAAGGAGUAGAAGAAACAGAAGACACGAAGGCAGUAGUUACGGAGAAAAAGCAAAAACAGAGAGCAGCGGAAAAGAGAGAGGGCAGAGAUCUGGAUGUAGAGAGAUGGUGAAAGGAAGAGAGAGAGGGAGGGUGAGUGAGAAGGAGGAGGAGGACAAAGGAAAAAGAAAAUGGGAGAGGAGAGCACUGGCAGAGCAACCUAGGCUUUAAAGAGCGAAGAAUGGACCAGGCGCGGUGGCUCAAGCCUGUAAUCCCAGCACUUUGGGAGGCCAAGGAGGGGAGGAUUGCUUGAGCCCAGGAGUUUGAGACUAGCCUGGGCAACAUAGUGAGACCCUGUCUGUGCAAGAAAAACUGUAAAACUAGCUGGGUGUGGUGGCAGCGGCACACACCUGUGGUCCUAGCUACUUGUGGGGCUGAGGCAGGAGGAUCGCUAGAGCCUGAGAGAUUGAGGCUUCAGUGAGCCAAGAUUGUGCCACUGCACUCCAGCCCAGAUGACGGAGCAAGACCCUAUCUCAAAAAAAUUAAAUUACAUUAAAUUAAAAAUUUAAAAAAGUGAAGACUGGAAAAACAAGAAUGAGAUUUACAAGAGAAUUAAAGGCGAUGAGAGUUGGAAAUACAAAAUGGACAGCAUGAGAAGUCUGGCAGAGAAAAAUUCCCAUGUAGGGAAAUUGAGUUGGGCCACAGAGAGGAAGGCAGGAGGUCAGAUGGAAACACAGAAGAAAGGAUUUAGGUCACCACAUCUUUUAUCGGCCAUUAUAAAGAAGCCUGACUUCAGUCUGUGUUUAUGGCUCUUGAACACAGACCCGAGGCAGCCUCUAGGGUGCAGCAUCUGGGCAGGUGAGAUGACCUUUGUCCUCCACAGGGAAAAUGUGGUCAAGAAUAUUCAAAGGGCCAGGCGCGGUGGCUCACACCUGUAAUCCCAGCACUUUGGGAGGCUGAGGUGGGCGGAUCACAAGGUCAGGAGUUCAAGACCAGCCUGGCCAACAUGGUGAAACCCCGUCUCUACUAAAAAUACAAAAAGUAGCUGAGUGUGGUGACACACACCUGUAAUCCCGGCUACUUGGGAGGCUGAGGCAGGAAAAUCGCUUGAACCCGGGAGGUGAGGUUGCAGUGAGCUGAGACCAUGCCACUGCACUCCAGCCUGGGUGACAGAGCAAGACUCCGUCUUGGGAAAAAAAAAAAAAAAAGAAUAUUCAAAGGGCUGGAAAUAGGGUAGACAUUCACCAUCCCUCCACCUGGCUAUGCAGCCAUCGUGAUGAAAACUUGGCUUCUGUUUCAGAUCUUCUUUUGUGGGACCCCUCCCUAGGCUCUGGGAGGAGCCCCACAGAGUAUUCACAUAGUCAUAUGUUUUUGUAAAAUUUGCAAAACUAAUGUUUCAACUGCUGUCAGCCAUACUAUGGUCCUGAGGCAGUCUGCAGUCUCUCCUCGUACAUUUAUAUGAUCUCUAGAAGCUCCAGUGUAGACACAGCCUCAGGAAUGCUCCUACCACCCACGGGCACCGCAGCACAAGGGUCCUCUGGACCUGUGACCUUAUUGCCAUGGGAUGCAUCCCACAGUGCUGGGCCCUAGAAGGAUGGUGGAAGUGGAAGAGACAGAGAUUUGAAAUGUAGGCAGCCAGAGGCUGGACCAUGGAAUUCUCACAACCAUCAGACGUAAGACAGCAAGUGGAGGAUGCGGUUCCUAUCAAGGCCUGAUAAUCACAGCUGAAGUUCUCCCCUGUCAGAAAGAGCCACAAUAAUGGUGCUUAUGCAAUUACAAAUGCAUCGUGCACCUUUUUUGUCCUCUCUUGGAUCCCACAGCCAAUAUUGGAGUGAUUUUAGUUCCAAGAUGUGUACCACGCCUGUUUGUAUGUUGUAUUAAACAGCCUGCCUGAAGGCAGGAGGCUCUCGGUGCCUGGUAAACAGCACAGGGCCUGGUCCACAGCAGAUGCUCAACAAAUAAUUGUAAGACUGGCGAAUGCAUGAAUGAAUGAAAUAUGCAUUGAAAUAAAUCUCUGAUUUUUCAUUCUCUAAAUGCCAUCCAUAUAUCUUUGUGUUCAUUACAGCAAAAGAGGCCAUAGCAAUAAAGAUAGAAUCACUACUUAUGGGGGGGCCAUUCUCUUUUCACACCUACUACCUUCCCUUCCAGAGGGCUGAUGCAGGGUUAGAAAUGAGAAUGUGAGGCCAGCCGCAGUGGCUCACGCCUGUAAUUCCAGCACUUUGGGAGGCCAAGGUGGGUGGAUCACCUGAGGUCAGGAGUUCGAGACCAGCCUAGCCAACAUGGCAAAAACCCCAUCUCUACUAAAAAUACAAAAAUUAGCCGGGCAUGGUGGCUGGCACCAGUAAUCCCAGCUACUCUGGAGGCUGAGGCAGGAGAAUCACUUGAACCUGGGAGGCAGAGGCUGCAGUGAGCUGAGAUCAUGCCACUGUAUUCCAGCUUUGGUGACAGAACAAGACCUGUCUCACACACACACACACGCAAAAAAAAAAAAAAAAAAAAAAAAAAAAAAAAGAAAGAAAGAAAGAAAAAGAAAGAAAGAAAGAAAAGAGAAUGUGGAAGGGAAUAGAUUCCAGCAUCACGCUCUAUUUUCCUUGCUGAAGCCUCUGUGUUCUAGGUUAAAUAAAUCUGUUUUUAGCCUUCCUUCUUUGGAGUUUCCUGAGGUCCCUGCAGGUUUUUUUUUUUUUUUUUUUUUUUCGUUUUUUUUUUUUUUUAACAGAAGGCUUGGUUAUUGCAAAACCUCUUUGCAUGUUUUUGUUCUCUUUCAGUGGAGACUCUGUUUGGCAAUAGAACUAAAGUUUCCUCACAGGUUUUGGGUUACAGAUAGGGUCUUACUCCAUCCCCAAGUCUCCUUUGGGAUCACAGUUUUUUAAGAAUUGUGACUGUGCAGAACCAGGGCUUGCAUAAGGCCACCAAGACUCUGGAUUCAGAAAUGGAAAAUUUCCUUUUAAAAUUAGGUAGGGGAGUUUGAACCAGGAUUUUUAUUUGGAUAGCCUAAUUCUUGGAAAUGCAGCUGGUAUCCCUUGGGAUAUUCCAUAAAAACUUUCACGCAUAGCUUCAGGCAUUUACUUAUUCCUUGUAAGUCUUGAUGGAGAGAGGUUUCCACACAAAGUGCUGUGAUCAGGACUUCAGGAAACACAAAGAGGCUUUUUUAUUCUGCGCAGGCCAGGUUCCCACGCAGGUGAACUGUUCUGCAGUUUGGUUUCGCCUGCAGACAUCUCCAAAUCUGUGCUAUGGUGAAAUUCUUCCUCAGGUCGAAUCAAAAUCUUCUCUGUUGAUGUUUAAGACCACUUUUUUGUUUAAGGCCAUUUAGUUUUUACAGGAAAAGAGGAACAGCUCUUUACCUUCUGCCUAAUCUCCCUUUCUGAAUUGAAAGACUGUAAUCUAAUCGCUGUGAAGUAUUUUCUUUCCCAAGCGAAAGAAUCACAAUUCUCUGAGCUUCUGCUCUUUGGCGCAUUGAUAACCACGGGCGGGAAGAGUGUUGGGCAGCGUUUAGAGUCUCUGGCAGGCUGACCACACACUCUGGGUUGUUAGAAGCUCUUUCCCGACUACAUCUGUCGUCUAGGCCGGGAGAGUUCAGGGAAAAGUUCUGGGGCUUCAAGCCUGCUGUGCAGAGGGAGAAACUGAGGACCAGGUAUGAGCCGAGCCCAGCCUGGCCGACGGGUCCUGCGGGUGGCGCAACGUGAGGCGUCGCUUGGUAUCUGGAUUCUCUCGAGUCCACAGGCAACUGGCAUCGCUUAUUAGUCACCCUCCAUUCAGUGUGUAACCUGACAAUAUCAGCGGUGCUUUCCGGACAAAGAAGCUAACAGAAGAAAGCCAAAGUUGUGUCAUCAGGCUGGGCGGAACGAACGCGAGCCCAUCAGCAAAGAGCCUGCUUUGAUCUUCAUCGUGGGAGGAUGGAGGGUCUGAUGAAGCCGCGACAGUCUGCGUCUGGGUGGGGCGGGCCCUGCCCUGGGAGCGCAGUGGGACGUGCUGCCAGCGUGCUUCCCAUCCACCUCCUUCACACGUGUGACCCAUGACUGUCCACUGCCCCUGGAGUUGAGCCCAGGCUCCGCAGGAUGGCAGUGGGUGGGCCUCAUUGCCCAGCACGCCUAUCUCCCCACCGUCCUCGCCAGCAUCUCCUCCCAGAGCACACCAGGCUGCCCCAUGCAUCCAGUCCACACACGCACUCAAACGGCCACUAAGCCAGGUUCCGCUUUAGAUCUUGGCUGUGAAGACGCUAGCAAGAGGAGCUGAUGCUUCGGUGGGGAGCAAGGCGGAAAAGAAACCCUCAUGGGAAUGGAUCGAGGUGAGUGCCCGGGUUCCGGAUGUGCAGGUGCAGGGUCUCCAGACCAGCCUGAGGCCGGAGGUCAGGGCUUGGAAAGUCAGGAGGGGCUUCCUAGAGGAUCUGAUGUCAGGAUCAAGGGCAUCAGGAUGGGUAGGAAGUGGUCGCUCAAGAGGAGAAGAAGGCCUGCUUCGGGCCCUGUGCCUUUUCCCACACUGUGCUUCAGCCUGGGACACCCGACACCGCCUUGGCCUGGCUUCCCUGCAGACCUGGCGGACAAGUCCCUUCCCUGUGGAGUCUUUCCCGGUACCCACUCUGCUCCCUCCAUGUGCUGAGCCAUGGCAGACACCUCCUCUUCUUGGCUCCAGGGCACUCUCCCAGCCCUUGUGAGUGUCUCAUCCUCGUCUGUUCACUGACCUCCCCUGUUAUGUGUGAGUCUUUCUCUCUUGGCAUCCCCUGAAGCUCACACACAUGAGCACAUGCCCGGCACUCAGCAGCAUCGCAGAAUGUGAGUCUGCAUUGAGCCACUAGCUUUAUUCUUACAAAUGCUGUAUUAUUCAGAGCAGGGGGAAGUAGCUCUGGCCACAGGCACUGGUCCCAUCUUCAAGGAGGACUCUGAGAAGCUGACACGUGUCCCAAGCUGAGCCACCACUGGGGGAUAAGGGAGGAACCUUACCCACUGUCAGGUAAGAACCUCUGGACAGAGCCUGGAGAGGAGAGGAGGCCAUGUGGAGCAUGAAGGCACCUGCUGCUGCCGGAGGCACAAAUACGUGGACACAUGGAGAGGGGCUGCUGCUCUAGACUCUCACAAACAUAGAGAGAAUAAAGGGGCCAGUGGGGGCAGUUACAUGGAGGCACCUUUCAGACCUGUUUAAGGAAAAGCUUUCCGGGGAUAGCAAUUUUCCAACCUUUGGGCAACUUGCCUUGACCUCCCUACCAUGGUCGCAUUCAAGGUCGUGCACACCUGCCAUUGCUUACGAUGUCAUCACUCAUAGGCCUCUCAUCCUGCAUGGGAAAUUAGGCCAGAUAACCUCUAUGAUGCUGUGCAAACCUAGGCGUCUACAAGCCCAAACGUUGAUCUCAGCCUGACUCUCACCCAGCCUCGGGCCCUGCGGUACCACGUCUGUGCUGUCUUCAUGCCCAGGUUGCAUCCCAGGCGGUUACACCCUGUGCAUGGCUGUGCCGCCUCCAAGGAUCCUUCACUUCCUCAGCAGAACUGGGGUUGGGAGAGCAGGGGCUUUCCUGGGAUGCUCCGCUGCUCCUCGGCAGGGCCAGACUUUGAAUCCCACCCACGCAUCUACGGUCUGGAAAGACACACCAGAAUUUGUCAAAAGACAGUUUCCCAUAUUCAAGGGAUUAUUUCCCUCCUUCUCCUUCCUUUACCCUUGGAUCCUCUCCAGAAUCAAGUGGAUCUGACUCCCUGCAUCCCCCGGGGAGUCACUAUGAAGUCAGAAUUGGACUCAGACAAAGGACGGCUCUGGACCAAGUCCCCAGCAGCCCUUGUGGACCUUGGAGCAGGGAGAGAGGCCGUGAAUACACCUGACCCCCUUACAGUGGAUGCUUGGGGGCUGCCAUAACAAAGCACCACAGAUCAGAUGCUUCAACCACAGGAAGGUCUCAUCCACAGUCCUGGAGGCUGGAAGUCCAAGGUCAAGGUGUUGGCAGGGUGGGUUCCUUCCAGAGGACUCUGGGGAGGGGCUGUUCCAGGCCUCUCUCCUGGGCCUGUGGACAGCUGUCUUCUCCCUGUGUCGUCACACUGUCUUCCCUCUGGGCAUGUGUGUCCACGUGUCCCACCCUGACAAGGUUAUAUUGGCUGAAGGCCCACUCUCAUGACCUCGUUGUAGCUUGAUUAUCCCUGUAAAGACUUAUCUCCAAAUAAGGUCAUGUUCUGAGGUCCUGGUUGGUAGGACUUCAACAUAUGAGUUUUUGGAGGCAGGGGGCACAAUUCAACCAUAGUAGGGUCAUGUGGCUUUUUCUGACUGCCCAUCACCUGCACCCCGAGAUGUGAGUUUGGAUGAGAAGCUGAGAAGCCCAACACCUCCCAGCUGCUCUGCAAUAAUGAAUGGUGAAGGUCCUCUCUGCCCAGACAAAUUCUGCCUGACAGCUGUUUCCCACUUCCAGGCCUUUCCUACCGAGAUCUCUCCAGCACUCACCGCCUCUGUGAGCUCAGCGCCUCUCGGUUUCAGGCUCCUUGCUCUAAGAACUCCUCUCUGGCACAGUGGGAAUAGUGUGAGCUUUGGGGUCGGUCAAACCCAGGGUCAAACUCUGAUUCACUAGAUGUAUGGCCUUGGAUAAGUUAUUCAAAGUCUCAAAGUCUUCGUCUUUUCUUCUCUGAAACAGGCUAAAACAAGCUACUGCACUGACUUGUUUGGAGGAUUAAAGGAGCUAAUGAAAUGCAAGACAGGUGCCUCCCGACAGUGUGCCCCAGUGAAGGCUGAGCUUCUAUCAUGGGGGGCCUUCAGACCAGAGUCUUCAGGUGUGCAGUAGGCUAUAGGUGAGACUGGUUUGGCUAGUGAUGACAGGAGAUGAAUUUCACCAUGGGCCAGCAGGGCCACAUGUGGUCAGUCUUCAGGAAGUCACUCCCUGGAUGUUCAGCUCCCCAAGGUGUGCAGGGCCACCCAGUUGGCUCUCUGAGGCCUAGGCCCACCUGCUAUUCACCCUUCAGAUGUUCCCCUCCUUAUGUUCCCUAAGAGCCUGGCUCCUUUCCCCUCCCGGGUAGUUCGCACACACUACAAGACGUGAAAGACCUGAAGAAGGUGUUUAGGGGACUGCAUGUGGUUCCUUCUGUUAUUAUUCCGAUAGGUACUUUCUCCUCCAAUUAUGGAAACCCUGCCAUUGUUUCUAGGUCUAUUUAAAGCUUCUCACUUCCCUGCACUUUGAGGAAGGUGCUUGUCCCACCCAGUACUCAGCACCCAGCCUUGUCCCUGUUAGAAAGGGCUCAGAGGAGGCCUUUCCCAGGCACUUCCCUUUCUUGCCCAGUCCAGACCCCUGAGAACCUGUUGCUAUGGAAAUGACUACCAGAAAAGCAAGAUGGUGAGGAGAUUGACACAUGGUUUGGGGCCAGACCUUUCUCAGAGGUGGUUUUUGGUCUUGUUUUACUUUAUGUAGCUUUGUUUUUUGGUGGAGAAACACAACUCAUAUUCCCCAUUGCUACCAUUCUUCAUGGAGCAGUCUCACCCCAUACACGAGUUUUGAUACCACAUUUCUCUAGCGGAAGCCGUGGGUCAUUUUUAGCUGGCUGGUUCUGGGAGCCUUUGAACAGGCCUUUGGAAUCUUUGAGGAUAAACAGGAGCCGGCAGGGCUGGGCUGCAUUCGAUUUAAAAUUGGAAACACGGGAGUCAGAGGCGAGCUUUAUAUAGUCUGGGAGUGCAGGAGCCCCAAGUCCUGAUUUAUGAGGGAGCUCAGUAAAGCACAUGGAAGCCAAGGUAAUAUUUAUAAAUUCCUUUCCCCUAGGAUGGCUGGAAUGUUGUUUUGAGCUGCAGUCAGAUUGCACCUUUUUGGGGGCUGAGGGCAGGUUGUUUAAAUUAGGUUAUUCAAUGACUGAAAAGAAAGGGAUAUGCCAGUUGGGCAACUGCCUCUAAGUCUCUGCCACAGAAAAACACAGGGUGGAAGAAAGCUCCACCCGCAGGGCUGGGUCCCUCUGGAGAACCCUGUUUGCCCAUUUGGGUGGCUCCUUCCUCCUGCUCCAGCCCCCAGGCCUCCCCUUGCCUAUGUCCAACAGGCGAGCACCCACCCCUGGCAGCUGGAGUGACCACAUUUUACCAACAAAAAAGUUUACCUUGACAUCUGGGUUUGGGGCAGGCUCUUUGGAAGUGCUGACCAGGGUGGGAAAAAGGAAGGGAAAAUAAGAUAAGGGGAGAUGGGGAGGAAGCUAAAGACAGGCCCAGGUGUGACCUAGGUAGACCUGGAUCCCGAGGCUGUUGUGUGAGAGGACACACUCACUGCCGUGGGUGAACUGAGUCAGAGUAGCUGAUGCCAUGCCGUGGAGGUCAGCAAUGCUAGCCCGGUGAGAGAUGCAUUCAUACUGUGGGUUUGGGGUCUGCUGGUGAGGGCAGGGGGUUCCCUGGGCAUCACGCCCCGUGAGGCAGAAGGAGCCGUGCCAGAGAGCACUGUCAGAGCUGCGUCCCCCUCUGGCCUGGUCUUCCUUACCCCAACACAGAAGGUUGGGAGGGGGCAGAGCCAUGUGGCAGCAGACGGUGCUCACUGUGGUGAGGGCAGUGACCCAGCUUCAAGGAGAAGGGCAGACAGAAGAUGUUACUGAACAAUCAUAUUCAGGGCCGGGCACGGUGGCUUGUGCCUGUAAUCCCAGCACUUUGGGAGGCCAAGGCAGGAGGAUCACUUCAGGCUAGGAGUUUGGGUAAGACUGGGCAACAUAGAGACCUCACCCCUCCAAUUUUUUUUUUUUAAUUAGUGGGUCAUGGUGGCACGCGUCAGUCCCAGCUACUCUAGAGGUCGAGGUGGGAUGAUCACUUGAGCUCGGGAGGUUGAGGUGGGACCAUCACUUGAGCUUGGGAGGUUGAAGCUGCAGUGAGCUAUGAUUGCACCACUGCACUCCAGCCUAGGUGACAGAGCAAGAUCCUAUCUCAAAAAAAAAAAAAAUGUGUUUAAACACCAAGGGGGAGGGGAGGGGUCAUUCACCUUUGCCACAGGACGCACUUUGACCUUGCUGCCUCUGGCUUCUGUCUGUAUAAAGAAGACACCUCCGGCCAGGCGCGGUCGCUCAUGCCUGUAAUCCCAGCAAUUUGGGAGGUUGAGGCGGGCGGAUCACGAGGUCAGGAGAUCGAGACCAUCCUGGCUAACACGGUGAAACCCCAUCUCUACUAAAAACAUAAAAAGUUAGCCGGGCGUGGUGGUGGGUGCCUGUAGUCCCAGCUACUCGGGAGGCUGAGGCAGGAGAAUGGCGUGAACCAGGGAGGCAGAGGUUGCAGUGAGCUGGGAUCACGCCACUGCACUCCAGCCUGGGGAUCAGAGCCAGACUCUGUCUCAAAAAAAAAAAAAAAAAAAAAGACACCUCCACUUACUACUCUGCUUCUGAGGACUCCCCCUCAGGGAGGAUCUGGGGCUGCCAGUUCUAAGCUGAGAGCAGGUAGGACCUUUCCACCACCCCAGCCAGUGCCUGCCUGAGCACAAAGAGCUCUUGAUGAAAGGCUCCCAGCACCUGCAAAAUCCAGGCCCAGGUGGCUCCAGAAUGACUGGUGUGUGGGGUUGCAAAAAGACCUGCCCUGGCGGAAUCGCUGGGAGGCUGGGAGGAAGACAAAUAAAGACACUGGCGUGCCCUCCUGGCCCAGGCAUUGGCAGUGCGUAGGUCCCAACCCUUGUAAGAGCCUCAAGCCUGCACCUGGGAAGAAGGGGCUUAGAUGUCAAACCUCAGCCACGUGUAUGACAGUGACUACAAAGAUGCCCUGUGCAGGGAGACCUUGGUUUCUCUCCUUCCUGCAGAAUUUAGGAGACAUUCUACAAAAGGUACUCAGGCCUGAUGUACUAUUCCUUUUGCCUGGCGGUCAGCAGCCAUGUGGGGGCUUCUGCCUGCCCCUCCUGCUCACAGCCCCCCACCCCCUGGGGUGCUGCUGCCCAAUGAACUCUAGACACUCUGUCCAUGUGUUUAUGAGGCUUGUUCCCAAAUCUUCCCCAGGACGUGUCCAAUCAACCCCGACUCCUGAGAGUGGCAGGGAGGGGUGGGGAUUUGCUCAGCAAGCUGAGCCUUAGCUUGCCCUCUGCUUCUGUUCCCCUGACAGGAGUACCUGCAGUUACACCGGCCCUGGGCCAGUGCUCACCUGACACCCCACCAUCCAGCAUCCCCUCAGGAAUCCAGCCCCAGAGCACCUGCUUCUGCCCCUUUCUGCUCUUGUCUUGUUCUCGAGCUAUGGAGAGGGGUGACUACCCUGGACAGUCUUGCAGUAUUAGAGCAGGAAGGGAUCUUGAAGGUGAUGGUAACAGUAGCUGCCAUUAUUAAGCACCUACUACAUGCCAGGUGUGUUAAGAAUGUUGUUCUGGCUCCUCACAAGUGCUGGAGAGAGGCGCUACCGUAGUUACCAUGAUGGAGGCACAGGUUGGUGUCAGACCUGUAGCUGAGUGGUCAGGGCACAGACCUGACUGAAAUCCCAGGUCUGCCUCUUACCCACUGGUGGGACCCAGGGCUGCUUUCUAAAGCCCUCUGUGUCUCCACUUCCUCGUUUGUAAGAUGAGGAAGGUAAUAAUAGUGGCUGCCCCAUAGGGAGGUGCCAAUUGUCUAUGCAGGCCAAGUGCUUGAUGGUGCCCUGAGCCCAAGCAGGUGGCAUGAGGGUCCUGUCAUCCUGGAGGUCCCAGUGGUGCAGUGAUGAUGGCAAGGCCGGGGCUGGGGCCCAGCUCUUUGUUUUACAAAGGAGGAAACACUGGGUGUUGGUGGGCGGGGGUGGGGUGUCAGGGAGAGAGGAUACAUCCACCAUGGCCUUUUCUGAUGAGCUCCGUCUAGUGCCCAUCCCGCAAAACAUACCUCCCUUUAGAAUUGAAGGGAUCUCUGGCAGGGCCCCUUCGACCUUCUCUAGGUGUUGCCAGCAGCUUGCAGGGCUAGUGCAGGACUAACGGCUCUGAAUUGCUCUUACACUGUGUGUGCCCAACUGCCCCCCAACCCCUCACCAUCUCUAGUGCCUGGCACUUCACAACCAGGGAGCACUUGCCAGGGGGAAUCAAAGCAAUCAGCAGGUCCCUUCUCAACGUAAUGGACUCAGGUCUUUCAAGUCCUGAUGGACUUUUAACCACUCUUUGCUGCCAGCGUAUCCAUUUGAUUGAGAAUAUUCAAUAUUUCCCUCAUCCAGACUUGUCUCUCUCUGAGGCACCUUUCCCGCUCCCCCGUAUAGGAAUUCAUUGCAUUUUCAAAAAGCACAAAAAUGGAGAUUCCUGCCUCGUUUCAACCCUGAAUUUAACAAGGAUCAUUUCCAUGGAAACCAAAAAAAAAAAGGAAAUGAAAUAAGGACGAAUAUCUCAUUUAUUUCCCUGCAGCUCUCAUCCCCUGCUCAUCCAAGCCUCCCUCCUUCCAGAUGAAUAGGAACAGGUUACAGCUGACCCAGUUUCACUCCCAGCUUCAGAAGAUGAAUCACGGUGGGUUGGCGGACAAGGAAUGGGGCAAGCUGGGGCAGCGCGGAAGGCAGUGCUGUUUUCAGGAGGCCUGACCUCUGUGGCCAGAGUCCCCGUCAGCACCGCUUACUGCAGGCCAAGAUGCCUCCCACCCUCCAGAAUCCGACCGCGGAGGGAGCUUCCAGUCCAGGAGCCUGCGGGAAUCCUGGCGGGGGCUGAGGGCUGCAGCCCCCCUGGCCUGGGCAUUGGGUGCCUCUUAGGGAUCUUGCCUGGGUGCCCUAAGGGGUCACCCGGUGUCCGUCCUGGAGGGCCGCAGAGUCAGCGCAACCUGCCCUGGUGCUCGGUCCUAAGGUCAGCUCUGCUUCUCCCGAGUGGGGAGGGCGUCACGGUUUGCCUGCAGUGGGAGCGUUCCGUGUCAUUCAGACGAGCAGGUGGGAAGGUCGGCAGGAGUGCAGAGAAGAGACGCGGGAAGCGGGAUGCAGAGAGGUGGGCUGAAUCAACCAGGCGCAGGAGGAAGCCACAGUGCCCAGGGGAGGCAGGGGGAUGGGGGAGGAGGCGGGAGGCCCCGGGUUCUUGCCCUGUGGGCCGCGUGGGCGCCCAGGAGCAUGGUGGGCGCCGGCCUCACUUGGACACCAGCACACGGACAAACUCCUCGUAGUUCACCUGUCCGUCUCCGUCCGUGUCCGCGGCCCGGAUCAUCUCGUCCACCUCCUCGUCACUCAGCUUCUCCCCCAGCCGGGUCAUGACGUGUCGCAGCUCGGCGGCGCUGACGAAGCCGUUGCCGUCCUUGUCGAACACGCGGAAGGCCUCGCGGAUCUCCUCCUCGUUGUCCGUGUCCUUCAUCUUCCUGGCCAUCAUGCCCAGGAACUCGGGGAAGUCCACGGUGCCGUUGCCGUCCCGGUCGAUCUCACUCAUCAUGUCCCGCAGCUCGGCCUCCGUGGGGUUCUGGCCCAGGGACCGCAUGACCGUGCCCAGCUCGCGGGUGGUGAUGCAGCCGUCCCCAUCCUUGUCAAACAGGGAGAAGGCCUCCUUGAAUUCUGUGACCUGCUCCUCAGUCAGCUGGUCGGCCAUGCCAGGGGUGGGGGCGUGGGUGGCAGAAGAGGCCACUGUGGGGUCUCCCUCCCAGUGCCGCAGCCCGGCUGCUGUCCCAGCUCUGGGGUGGCAGGUGGAGAUCCGGGCGGCCGGCGGGCUGUCUCGCCCUGGCUUGAGACGCUGGAGCUUAAGAAGCAGCAGAGUCCUCCCCCAUCAUUGGCAGACGCCCCUGCCCUGCGGUUGCCCGGGCCUGUCCUGUUUAGACAGGAGUCCAGGGCCUGCGAAUCGAGCUGACGCCAGCACCUCUGUGCCUGCUUGCACCUGGACCCAGCAGAGCCACGGGGGCCCCGAAUCACACCUGCAGUCAGGGCGUGGUGGGUGAGCUUUGGAGCAAUCCACGCUGGACUCCUUCCUCCUGAAUUUCCCUUUCUCUCCUCCCUCCCCGUCUCCCACCUGCCGCCUGUCUCCCACUCAAUAAACUCCAGUGCCCUUUCUUCCCUUGAGUGGAGGGCUUUUUGCAGGAUGAAAGGCAGAUGAAAGAAACGUCCUUGCCUUUGGUUUCUAAAGCCUCAUAUAGAACAGGAGGGUUUUUGGAGGAGGAAGGUUUUCCCUUCAGGUAGAAGCAGCGAGUUUUCUUAUCUUCAGAAUGGACAUGAAUAGGGAGGGGUUUCCUCCAACCCAUUCACUCAUCCACCCUUUCACAGAUAUUUGAGUGCCUACUAGGUGCAGUGUCACUCUGGAAGCUGGGAACACAGUGGGACCGGCAAGCCACCCCCAGUCCUCGUGAGGUUAACUAGCAAGACAGCUAGUUUGCAGGUCAACUGAUCGAGGAAUGCAAACAAGGGGCUGGAGAGACUUCUUCAUGAAGGAAUACAGGGACAGUCACAGGAGACAGGAGCACCAAGGGAUUCGGACAUGUGGCUGACACAGUCUUCUGGAGAGCCCCGGAUGGCAUCAGGGGGAAACCUGGCCUGAGACAGUGCCCUGAUGGACAAGGACAGGAAUACGGUCAUACCUCCUGCCCACUUGACCAACGACCAGGAUGAGAAGCCAACAGAUGAUGAAUAUGAAUUAAAGUUGGACAACUAGCAAGUUUAAAACUUGGACUGGGACCUAGAUCUUCCGAUUCCUACAGCUAGCCUCCCUUUCCAUCUUCUCUGUGGUCAUCACUAAUGCAGUUUUUGACCGUCUUGUCCAGAAGCUGCAAAACAGACAACAGAAGCCAGGACUGGCCCUGCCUUAGAUGGCUUUCAGUGCAGGAAAGUAUCAAGACAGUCUUGUUCGUAGCGUAUAUCUCUCUCCACCUUUUCUGCUAAGCACCUCAUGUAUGCAGCUGCCAAUGUAACACCUCCAUUUGCGUGUUUAAUCACCAUCUCAAGCUAAUGUAACCAAGCAGACUUCUUGGCCUUCAUCCCUGCCUCCUCUAGUCUUCUCAUCUCUCUCUCUCUCUCUCUCUUUUUGAGACAGAAUUUGGCUCUGUUGCCCAGGCUGGAGUGCAGUGGCACCAUCUUGGCUCACUGCAACCUCUGCCUCCUGGGCUCAAGCCAUCCUCCCAACUCAGCCUCCUGAGUAGCUGGGUCUUCCCAUCUCUUUAAAAAACAAUUCAAUUGUUCAGAACAAAACCCUGGAGUCAUAUUUAAUUCCUCCCUUCCUCUUGCACUUCUAAACCAAUCAUUCAUCUCUACUUUGAAAAUGUUUCUUUAUUCAUCCAGUGCACCAAGCCACCAUCACCUCGAGGCAGGAAUAUUCAACGGCCUCAUAAGUGGUCUCCCUAUUUGUGUUAUAUUCAAUGCAUGUCUUUUCUUACUCAAAAUCCUAUAAAGGCUUCUCUUCACCAUCCACGACUGUUUCCUGCCUUCCUCACUAUGAUCCCAUCACUGACCCCUCAAGACUAUGUUCCAGCCUACUUUCUGCUCCUUGACCAACACCCUUACUCUGAUUCCCACUUUUGUGACUUCACAUGAGUCCCCUGUCUGCCUGGACACUCUGCCCCCAACCUUGAAGUGCUCACCCUUCCCUGUCACUCAGUUGAAAGUCAAAUUCCAUUUCCUCAUGAGGGCUUCCCUGAAUACCCACUUUUAAUUAACUCUCUGCCUCCUCCCAUCACUUCUGUUUUACCCCCUCUUUUAGUUCCUUCCUAUCUUAGUUUCAUAAGAGCCAGGGCCGUUUCCGACUUCUUUCCCCGUCAAGCCUCCUUAGAUAGGACAGGUCCUCUGCCUCACCGACUUUAAUCAGUAUUUGCUAAGUAAACAGAGCACAGGAGGAUCCUGUUGUCAUCAAAGAGCAGCUCUGCCUCCAAUGGCGAAAGGAUUGUUGGAACCUCAUCCUUCCUUCAAGUUCUGGUUCAAAAAAUUCCAUGCUAUGCCUCACAUGGCCUUGCCCAGGUGCCUGUUUGAUUUGCCUGGGUUGUCUGUUCUUUCUUCCCCACUGUCCUCAUUUGCCAUGUGGCUCGGUGGUGGCUGGAGACCUCCAUGCUGGCCCCUGGGAGCAGCUGCUAAGGCUCGGCGCCUCAGGACACCUUGGCACCUGUGGAUAUCGACCACCAGGCUUCUCUUCUGUUCAUGUCUCUGCAAGAAUGAGAACCUGCCCCCAUACCAUUUGUGCUGUGUAGGCCUCAGGAGGCAUGGACUCACGCAUCCAGCUUCCUGCAAGCCCUCUGGUACAUCGCAGUGUUCACCCCCAGCUUUCUAUUACAGCCACCACCCAGGGACUCUGGUGCAGGCUCCUUAGAGAGAGGCCAGGAAACUGCCGAGGUGAUAAGUGACAGCAGGUCUCAGGGGAAGAGAGGACUUCUCUCCUUAGUAAAGAACCUGUCGAGGUCGGAAAGACACUCCAGGCUCAAAGCCAAAUUUGAAAGUUAGGCUGACAGCCCAACUAGGGCAGAUUGGAGGAGCCAGGUGGAGAGAGGAUGUGGGGGAGUCAGGAAAGAGGUGGAAGGAGAAGCCUGGAAGAGUGGCUCCGCUCCUGGAGUAUGGCCAGCGGCACUUCGUCAGGACCUCGACCUUCACCCACUAGUGGGAGGGUGUUCCUCGCAUGACUUGUAGGAUCACCUGGGAAACACACAAAUGGAAGAAUUUAAAAAUAUCUGCUAGGACACCCCGUGUCCCCCACAACUCAUCACAGAGCAAACCCAUCACAGAGCAAACUCCUUGGCUACUUCUUGUCUUGGGCCGUCUUUUCAUCUGGCCUGUUUGCCUGACUGGACUUUGGGGUCUUUGUUCCCAGCAUCAAAAUUUCCUACCAGCGACUUUCCAUCACAGCUCCCUUCCAGUCUUCUGGAAAUUGUCAGAUGUGCCUGGAUUUGCAGGGCCUGCACAAGAUAUGCUGUCGAUCUGGGAUUUUUGGGGAUUUUUGCAGUUCACACUCCAAUGUGCAACAGCAACCAAACGGAGAUGGAGGACGUGAACAUGAACUACUGGAGAUGCUGAUGAAACGUGUGUAAGGACCGCAAUGGUAUCUGUGUCCUGCUCGUGAAAUUGACCAGAUACAGCGGCUUCCUUUUGCUUCCGAAGGCCCGGAUUGACCUGACAAUUGAUAUGCUUUGCUCUAUACUCCAACUCCCAUUGACCAUGGGGUGAAAGCACCCUUUCUCGGUCAGCCUCACUGCUUCCCCGCAGAUGGAGGGAUUUUCUGCAGGAGCAUGGGCCCUGGGCCUUCCUUUCCCACUGUCUCUUGAAAGCCUCCUCCAGAUGUGCUGCCUGGCUCAGCUCUUUGGGUGACUUUUGUUCUGUCUCAUGUGACCCAUCAAGAUUCACACAGGGCUGUGUCCCGGGCAGGGCUGGAGUCGACAUUCAGGGAGGAGAUCACUGUUCUGGAACAGAGCAGUGAUUGGUUUAAUUGAAAUCUGAUAGAUCAUCAUGUAAAAAGCUGGCAUGUAAGCAUGCUCCCGGAGCCUGCAGGGCCCUGCGCGGCCUCUUGCCUGGCCAUCACGUAGAGGCGGUCCUCUUGCAUGGUUGGGGGCCUCACCUGCACCACGGGCCCCCAAGCCAAACAGUGAGAUUGUACGGAGACCAUCCUGGUCAGGUCUUGCAGUUUGCACCAGGUAGCCCCAGGCUAUCCUGCCGUGCAAGAGCUGCCUUCUCAGCACAGUGGAGUUCUACGGCUGCCUCGGCUGCAGAGGUCAGCUCUGGAGCCUUGCUGAGCACCUCCAUGGAUGCAUUUUGCAAAGGGCCGAGUAAGAGGCAUUAACGUGGCCUGUGCUUAGUUCCUGACAGCAAGCGGGAUUAAACCCGGAUUAAAGGAUCAGCCCUAAACCAAAGCAGACCAGUAAUAGGUCUCAUGAUAAAAGCAGCCAAAUAAUAAUAGUAAAAAUCUAUUCUUGGACUUAUUACUUUCCUGGGAAAAGGGCUAUUUCUUGUGAAAUAUGCAGCGAUUGGAACUUUCCCCGACAGCCCACCGUGAGCUCACUCACUGCCCCUGCCUGUGCUGGGGGGUGGUGGGUGGUGAGAGGUGCAAGUGAAGGGUCUGGACAGAGGCAGAGGGAGGAGAGGGGGCAGGGGGAUGGGGAGGAAGAAUGGGGGGUUCGCUCUGGGAUAGCUUCAUGAUCCACUGAACCUUUCAAACUUGAUGCUUGACGUUUUGAAAAAAAUGACAGAAAAUAUGGGCUGGGCACUGUGGCUCACGCCUGUAAUCCUAGCACUUUGGGAGGCUGAGGUGGGCAGAUCACCUGAGGUCAGGAGUUCAAGACCAGCCUGGCCAACAUGGUUAAACCCCGUCUCUACUAAAAAUAAGCCAGGUGUGGUGGCACAUGCCUGUAAUCCCAGCUGCUUGGGAGGCUGAGGCAGAAAAAUUGUUUGAAUCUAGGAGACAGAGAUUGCAGUCAGCCGAGAUGCUGCCUCUAAACUCCAGGCUGGGUGACCAAGUGGGGCUCUGUCUCGAAAAAAAAAAAAAAAGUGUACUAGGGGGAUGUCGUUGAGGGGCUUAGCCACAUGCUACAGAUCUUUUUAUACCAAGAUGCAUUCAAUGAUUAGCUAAGUUGGACAGUUUGUUACUUUAAGCCUCCACAACCAAAGGGGCAAGAUAAUUAUCUCCCAGAGAACAAGUUGAUCUUCUUUGAAGGAUAAGGAGUUCCCCAAGCAGCAGGAAGAGCUUCUGUUCCCAAUUCCAGCCUUUGAAGUUUAAGCUUCAGAAGAAAACCUUAGCAUUUAAUACAGGAAGGCAUGCACGUGUGUGUGCAUGUGUUUGUACCCACACAUGUGGCUCAAGCUUCCCUGUGACAAUGGGUUGCCUGCGGGUAAGCGUGGGAUGUGUGGAGAAGGCAGGAGGGUUUAGGGCGUGGGCUCAGUACCCUGAUGAGAGAUUUAAAGCAGGCAAAGGGAUUCGGCAAAGUGCAGCUCCCAUUUCAUCAUUUCUUCAGACCCUGCCUUAGUUAUUUACUGCUGUGGUUUUAAACUCUGCUCUUCGAAACCCUUGGUUUCUGCAGAAGUCCUUCGAGAGGUUCGUGGGGGCAAAGGAAGGUGAGGGGCAGGAGCCCAGGCCACCCGGCCUCCUUCCUUUCCCCACGUCUGCUUUCAACUGUUUCAUAUGCAUCAUGCAAAUCGCAGCUGUCAUGGCUCAGGUCCUCAUGUGUACAAUGGGCGCCAUGGCAGCGUCCAGGUCAGAGGGUGACCAGAGUGACAUGAAUUAAGACACGAGAGGACUCCAAAGAGUGGUCAGGCCUCUCACGUCAUAAGAUCUCCAUAAAUGGUCACUAUUAUUUUGUGUUAUUAGGGGUACGCUUUUCAUUUGUAAGAUGACUUCCAUGGGGCCCCACGCCUCAUGACCCCGUCUCACCCCCUGCAAAUACCAUCCCAUGGAGAGGCAGGACUUGAGCCUAUGAAUUUGAGGGGUACACGGUUCAGUCCAAACCUUUUGGUGUUUCUGUGUAUCCAUUUCUGCAUGUGUAAAAUGAGGAGAACAGACAGCUUCCGACCUCAUCUCCAAAGGCGCACGGAGGAGGUGGAAAGGCCCUCGCCGGAGACUGAGCACUGCAGCCAGCGCAAGGCCGGAUUUGCUGCUUCCGCGCGGGGACGCCCUCGGAAAGGUGGCAGGUGCCCACGGCGAGGAAGGGGCGGGAGUGAGGGGUGCGUGGCCCGAGAGAACUCAGUGAAGAAGGCCAUUAGGGAGGAAAUAAGGGAAACGGGGUGUGCGAAGCUCUGAGCUUUUUCUGCCCGGUUUGGCUGAGGACACGCCACGGGUGAGCAUCUGCGCGAGGGGAGCUUGGUGGGUGAGGAAGGAAGAAGACACGAUAGAGAACUGGAAGCAAGAAGGGAGGAAACCAAAAGGAACGGGGAGGAGAAAGGGCUUCUCUGGAGCUGCUUGCUUUUCCCAGAUUCUCCUGCCAUUCCUGGCUCCAGGGAGUCCUGAAGGAACGAUGGUUAGGGCGGAGAAUCCUGCAGAGGAAAGGAGAGAAAGGACUAGAGGUCACACACGGCUUCUUGGAGGGGAGCGGGGAGCAGGGGCUCCGAGGCUGCGGGUCGCAGGCUCCAGGGCAGGAAGCUCUCCAUGGGAACCGUAGUAUGAAUUCCACCGAGGUGCGUCCCGGCACAGACCCGAAGGCAGCCACAUUUGUGGAAAUAAGAUUUGACGUGCAUUUCGGAUCCGCAGAGAAGGUGGACUCUGUUUUGCAGAAUGGACCAGCGGUGGGGGGUGGGGUGGGGGGCAGGAAAAGACUUUAAACGCUGGCAGAACUUUGUAUUCCACUCAUUCGUGCAUGCAUUCAUUCAGCCAUCCUUUCGCUAUCAUUCAUCAAACUAGCGCGCACUGAGGCCACUUUGUGUCAGCGCAGCGCCUGGCCUGAGGACCUCAGGGUGGUGUCGGCAAAGUUCCGCUGCCAAGGAGUUCACGGGCCGUGUUUCCUGCCAGGCCGCAGACACUCUCUGCGUGGAGCCCGAGGAGGUUCUGUGUGAGAUCUCACCCUGCGGGAAGAAAGAGGCGGAGGCUCGGGGUUGGUCCAAUCACACCCCUGAUGGUGAGAGACGGGCGGGCGGGGCCUGACGCCCACUCCCAGCUGGAUGCCUGUCUCCCACCCCGCGUGUCCUUUCCCAGACCCCAAAGCUUCCUGCCUGGUCUCAGUUCUUCGGAGAAGAGGGAUUAGAAGCUGGAACAGGUAUUUCUGCUAAUGGGGCGUGGCAGAUCGGCAUUUGCGGGGGCUCUGUCACCCCGUAAGAUGUCCCAGCAGGAAGCGUGGCGGGUCUCCACUGAGAGCUCCACGGAGCAGCUUUGGCUCCCUGAGAAGUCGAGGUGUGAGCAGUAGCGGCCUUCCCUUUGCAGAGAGAAGGCUUGGGGAGAGAAGACCCUGGUGCCAUCUUCAUAGGAGGUGGAAAGGAAACUGUAUGACAGGAGAAUGAAUCAGGUUUGGGGCUCAAGGUGCCGGCCACUGGGAAAAACAGCUGCCCCGAGUUGCAAAACUCUGGGUCCUAUAUGUAUAAACUAUGCCCUGAGGAAGGAAUCUCAGGCGUAUCUUAGGAGAAAAUGUUCUAGCUUGGGAAACAAACACAACAGGACCGUGAAUCCAAAUAUUUCAAGUGGGUUUAGAGGACUGGAGUUCUAAACGCUGCUUUUACUGUAAGUGAUCACGCCCCGGAAUGUGCUGAAGAAAGGAAAAUGAGCCAGUAUCGGCGAGGACUAUGGGCAAGGAAAACGAGAGUGUGCGAUGUGUCAAAGCAAGACAUCUGUGUAUAGUAAUAUAAUCAAGUAAUAGAUAGUCAUAGAAUCAAGCUGAUGUAUUUGGCAGGGGCCGCGGGAGGAUGAGGCAACUCCCAUCAGAUUAGAAAGAUGUUAACACUGUAACAAAAGUGGGGCUCGAGGAAGGGGAAAAGCGCAGCUCUCUUUUUAAGACGCCAGAAAGUAGUCAGACAUGCUAAGAACAAAACAAACACAAACGAAAACCAGCAAAGAAAGCUCUUCGAGAAGAGUAAGGCUACUGAUCUUUAGGAAUCAAAUCAUUAUUUCCACACAUGUCAUGAAGAACACAGACAUUAAAGCACAAAGGAGAAACUUAAAUGAAAGUAGGAGGGAGAAGUCAAAGCUCAAGUAAAGAGAUUUUUAACCUAGAGAGGCUGAGUUAUCAAGGAAGAAAGAAGGCCAAGCCAGCUUGUUGCAGAAUGUUCCAGAAGAUAAGAUAAUGAUAGACUUAAAUAAAUAGGGACUGAUCAAGGUGAUAGCGAGUUCUUGGUGAAAUUGCUUCCAAGGAUUUUAUAGAAGUGUAUUUCAUGGAAAUGUACAGUAACCGGAUGACUGUAUUAAAAUUUUAAAACUGCUGGGUGUGGUGGCUCAUGCAUAUAAUUCCAACACUUUGGGAGGCCAAGGCGGGUGGAUCACAUGAGGCCAGGAGUUCGAGACCAGCCUGACCAACAUGGUAAAACCCUGUCUCUAUUAAAAAUACAAAAAUUAGCAGGGUGUGGUGGUGUGUGCCUGUAAUCCCAGCUACCUGGGAGGCUGAGGCAGGAGAAUCACCUGAACCUGAGAGGUUGCAGUGAGCCAAGAUUGCGCCACUGCACUCCAGUCUGACUCCGUCUCAAAUAAAACAAAAUAAAAUAAAAAUCUAAAACUGACUUAGGCAGUUAAGUGUGUUUCCAAAGAACGUAAUUGGUGGGAGGCAGAGCGGGCCCGAAUUGCCACCUCUUCCCGGCACGGCCAGUGCUCUUCCUCCCACUCCCGGCCACCUCCGCAGGCCCCUGCCCGUGCCAGGACUGGGUGAAGCUGUGAAUGUGCUUCUCCACUUGGGGGUGCGGGACAAUGCUGGGGCCCUGGGCUGGGUUUCUGCCCUAGGAAGCCUCACUGUUGAGUCAGGGGCUGCUGGAGCUGAGUUUUGUCUUCAGUGGCUUAUGAAGGAAAGAUGAAGCUA
rnacentral:lncRNA from 1 species